CGUGCGCGCUAUAAUGCAAGUCGAGCGAACUGAUUAGAAGCUUGCUUCUAUGACGUUAGCGGCGGACGGGUGAGUAACACGUGGGCAACCUGCCUGUAAGACUGGGAUAACUUCGGGAAACCGAAGCUAAUACCGGAUAGGAUCUUCUCCUUCAUGGGAGAUGAUUGAAAGAUGGUUUCGGCUAUCACUUACAGAUGGGCCCGCGGUGCAUUAGCUAGUUGGUGAGGUAACGGCUCACCAAGGCAACGAUGCAUAGCCGACCUGAGAGGGUGAUCGGCCACACUGGGACUGAGACACGGCCCAGACUCCUACGGGAGGCAGCAGUAGGGAAUCUUCCGCAAUGGACGAAAGUCUGACGGAGCAACGCCGCGUGAGUGAUGAAGGCUUUCGGGUCGUAAAACUCUGUUGUUAGGGAAGAACAAGUACGAGAGUAAGCUGCGCUCGUACCCUUUGACGGUACCUAACCCCAGAGAAAGCCACCGGCUAAACUACGUGCCCAGCAGCCGCGGUAAUACGUAGGUGGCAAGCGUUAUCCCGGAAUUAUUGGGCGUAAAGCGCGCGCAGGCGGUUUCUUAAGUCUGAUGUGAAAGCCCACGGCUCAACCGUGGAGGGUCAUUGGAAACUGGGGAACUUGAGUGCAGAAGAGAAAAGCGGAAUUCCACGUGUAGCGGUGAAAUGCGUAGAGAUGUGGAGGAACACCAGUGGCGAAGGCGGCUUUUUGGUCUGUAACUGACGCUGAGGCGCGAAAGCGUGGGGAGCAAACAGGAUUAGAUACCCUGGUAGUCCACGCCGUAAACGAUGAGUGCUAAGUGUUAGAGGGUUUCCGCCCUUUAGUGCUGCAGCUAACGCAUUAAGCACUCCGCCUGGGGGAGUACGGUCGCAAGACUGAAACUCAAAGGAAUUGACGGGGGCCCGCACAAGCGGGUGGAGCAUGUUGGUUUAAUUCGAAGCAACGCGAAGAAACCUUACCAGGUCUUGACAUCCCUCUGACAACUCUAGAAGAUAAGAGCGGUUUCCCCUUCGGGGGGACAGAAGUGACCAGGUGGGUGCCAUGGGUGUCCGUCAGCCUCUGGUCCUGCGAAGGUUGGGUUAAGUCCCGCAACGAGCGCAACCCUUGAUCUUAGUUGCCAGCAUUUAGUUGGGCACUCUAAGGUGACUGCCGGUGACAAACCGGAGGAAGGUGGGGAUGACGUCAAAUCAUCAUGCCCCUUAUGACCUGGGCUACACACGUGCUACAAUGGAUGGUACAAAGGGCUGCAAGACCGCGAGGUCAAGCCAAUCCCAUAAAACCAUUCUCAGUUCGGAUUGUAGGCUGCAACUCGCCUACAUGAAGCUGGAAUCGCUAGUAAUCGCGGAUCAGCAUGCCGCGGUGAAUACGUUCCCGGGCCUUGUACACACCGCCCGUCACACCACGAGAGUUUGUAACACCCGAAGUCGGUGGAGUAACCGUAAGGAGCUAGCCGCCUAAGGUGGGACAGAUGAUUGGGGGAAGUCGAACAAGUGCAU
rnacentral:rRNA from 2 species